GUCCUUUCGGGACAUCUGAUAAAAUUGGAACAAUACAUAGAAUAUUAGCAUGAACUCUGGACAACGAUGGCACACAUAAAUUCGGAAAUUGUCUAAAUUUUU